rnacentral:rRNA from 1 species
UGCAGUCGACGAUGAUGCCCAGCUUGCUGGGUGGAUUAGUGGCGAACGGGUGAGUAACACGUGAGUAACCUGCCCUUGACUCUGGGAUAAGCGCUGGAAACGGCGUCUAAUACCGGAUACGACCUGCCCCGGCAUCGGGUGCGGGUGGAAAGUUUUUCGGUCAAGGAUGGACUCGCGGCCUAUCAGGUAGUUGGUGAGGUAAUGGCUCACCAAGCCGACGACGGGUAGCCGGCCUGAGAGGGUGACCGGCCACACUGGGACUGAGACACGGCCCAGACUCCUACGGGAGGCAGCAGUGGGGAAUAUUGCACAAUGGGCGAAAGCCUGAUGCAGCAACGCCGCGUGGGGGAUGACGGCCUUCGGGUUGUAAACCUCUUUUAGUAGGGAAGAAGGGCUUCGGCUUGACGGUACCUGCAGAAAAAGCACCGGCUAACUACGUGCCAGCAGCCGCGGUAAUACGUAGGGUGCAAGCGUUGUCCGGAAUUAUUGGGCGUAAAGAGCUCGUAGGCGGUUUGUCGCGUCUGCUGUGAAAACCCGAGGCUCAACCUCGGGCCUGCAGUGUGUACGGGCAGACUAGAGUGCGGUAGGGGAGAAUGCCAUUGCUGGUGUAGCGGUGGUAUGCGCAGAUAUC